rnacentral:rRNA from 1 species
GACAGAGGCCCCGAGCGUUAGGCGGAAUCACUGGGCUUAAAGCGUGUGUAGGCGGAUCGUUUAGUGUCUUGUGAAAUCCCACGGCUCACCCGUGGAACUGCUGGGCAUACUGGCGAUCUUGGGCCGUUCAGGGGCGACUGGAACAAGCGGUGGAGCGGUGAAAUGCGUAGAUAUCGCUUGGAACGCCGAAGGUGAAAACAGGUCGCUGGGGACGCGCCGACGCUGAGACACGAAAGCCAGGGGAGCAAACGGG